rnacentral:rRNA from 1 species
GACGAACGCUGGCGGCGUGCUUAACACAUGCAAGUCGAACGGGCCUGUCUUCUUUUUUGGGGGGUGGGUUGAGUGGCGAACGGGUGAGUAUCACGUGAGUAACCUGCCCUUCGGUCCUGGAUAACCGCUUGAAAGGGCGGCUAAUACGGGGUGGUCCGGUUGGUCCGCAUGGGCUGGUCGGGAUAGAUUCACUGUUUUUGGUGUUUCGGCGGGGGAUGGGCUCGCGGCCUAUCAGCUUGUUGGUGGGGUGAUGGCCUUCCGAGGCGGUGCAGGGUGGCCGGGCUGAGAGGGUGGGCGGCCACACUGGGGCUGAGAUACGGCCCAGACUCCUGCGGGAGGCAGCAGUGGGGGGUAUUGCACAAUGGGCGGAAGCCUGAUGCAGCGACGUCGCGUGAGGGAUGGAGGCCUUCGGGUUGUGAACCUCUGUUUCCGGUGGUGAAGGCCCUGUCCGUGUGGUGGGGUUGACGGUAGCCGGAGAUGAAGCGCCGGCUAACUACGUG